rnacentral:lncRNA from 1 species
GCCUGUCCCAAGUCAGAAGCCUGUAAUUCAGAGAUUGUCGUUUGUUGAUGCGAUACAUAUUUUUAUUUUGUUUUAGUUAAUUUUUUUGUACAUGAAUUUGGCCGUUGGUUUUCUUGUUAGAAUUGAUUUAAACUUGUCAUUUCGUGGCCUUGUAUAGCUGAUCGACUAUUGGGUAUGGGUUUGCUCAUUGUUGAAGGCCGUACGGUGAUAUUAAAAUGCUG